rnacentral:rRNA from 1 species
AGGCGGUCAACUUCACGCGUUAGCUUCGUUACUGAGUCAGUGAAGACCCAACAACCAGUUGACAUCGUUUAGGGCGUGGACUACCAGGGUAUCUAAUCCUGUUUGCUCCCCACGCUUUCGUGCAUGAGCGUCAGUGCAGGCCCAGGGGAUUGCCUUCGCCAUCGGUGUUCCUCCGCAUAUCUACGCAUUUCACUGCUACACGCGGAAUUCCAUCCCCCUCUGCCGCACUCCAGCGAUGCAGUCACAAAUGCAGUUCCCAGGUUGAGCCCGGGGAUUUCACAUCUGUCUUACAUCACCGCCUGCGCACGCUUUACGCCCAGUAAUUCCGAUUAACGCUUGCACCCUACGUAUUACCGCGGCUGCUGGCACGUAGUUAGCCGGUGCUUAUUCUUACGGUACCGUCAUGAUCCCUCUUUAUUAGAAAGAGACUUUUCGUUCCGUACAAAAGCAGUUUACAACCCGAAGGCCUUCAUCCUGCACGCGGCAUGGCUGGAUCAGGCUUGCGCCCAUUGUCCAAAAUUCCCCACUGCUGCCUCCCGUAGGAGUCUGGGCCGUGUCUCAGUCCCAGUGUGGCUGGUCGUCCUCUCAGACCAGCUACAGAUCGCAGGCUUGGUGAGCCUUUACCCCACCAACUACCUAAUCUGCCAUCGGCCGCUCCAUUCGCGCAAGGCCUUGCGGUCCCCUGCUUUCAUCCGUAGAUCGUAUGCGGUAUUAGCACAGCUUUCGCUGCGUUAUCCCCCACGAUUGGGCACGUUCCGAUGUAUUACUCACCCGUUCGCCACUCGCCGCCAGGAUUGCUCCCGCGCUGCCGUUCGACUUGCAUGUGUUAGGC